GACGAACCGUCCAAACGUUAUUCGGAAUCACUGGGCUUACAGAGUUCGUAGGCGGUCUGGAAAGUUGGGUGUGAAAUCCCUCGGCUCAACCGAGGAACUGCGCUUGAAACUACCAGACUCGAGGGAGAUAGAGGAAAGCGGAACUGAUGGUGGAGCGGUGAAAUGCGUUGAUAUCAUCAGGAACACCUGCGGCGAAGGCGGGUUGCUGGGCUGAUACUGACGCUGAGGCGCGAAGGCCAGGGAGCAAACGGG
rnacentral:rRNA from 1 species